GUCAGCAUGGCAUAGUGGUUUGAAUGCUGGUCUGUAACUCUGGAGACCGGGUUCGAUUCCCCGCUCAGCCA